AUGAUCUAUGGGUCUACUGGAGCUACCCACUUCGAUCAAUUAGCCAAGAUUUUGACCGGAUACGAAAUAACUGGUGCUCGAUCUAGUGGUAUUUUUAUGAGGAUUCUAUCUAUCGUUGUAGGAUCCCUAUUCAAGAUCACUGCAGUUCCUUUUCGGGCGACUGUAGAACGGACGACCGCCUAUAGGUGUGUUGUCACACAGCUGCCCGCCUAUAAAGCCACUCGCUCUGUAGUGUUGUCACACAAGAUAAGCACGCCGCCCACCAGCUGGCUGGCCGAAUCUAAGUUAUCUUUCGGUCAACUGUCCACCCAGUCAAGUGCAAAAAACACAGUUGAAUCACGCAACGCACGCUGCUGGUGUGCUUCCUGCCCGCGAGGAAAGAAGAGCGACAAGGUUUAG